UCAAUAUUAUCUUGGUCUUUUGGUUUGUCUAAUAUUCUUGUUUCUUCAAUUUCUUGGAUUUUUUCAAUUUGAUUGGAUGGUGGUGGUUAUAUAAAUGAACUGUGCUAGACUUUUUUUCUUGAUCAAAGAUUUGACAUUUUAUUAUGGGGUUCUGUGAGCUAUCUAUACAUUUGUCAAGAAAAUGAAACUCUGCUGCUUCUCUU
rnacentral:lncRNA from 1 species